rnacentral:rRNA from 1 species
UUUCGACAAUGGGGCGAAAGCCUGAUCCAGCCAUGCCGCGUGUGUGAUGAAGGCCUUCGGGUUGUAAAGCUCUUUUAUUUGGGAGGAAGGGGAGGGAGUUAAUACCUUGAUGUUUUGACGUUUCCGACAGAAUAAGCACCGGCUAACUCUGUGCCAGCAGCCGCGGUAA